rfam:Oryza meridionalis cultivar OR44 (W2112) chromosome 7, whole genome shotgun sequence.
AAUAAGUGUAGUUUUACACUGUUUACGUUCAGCAUUUGACCGUUCAUCUUAUUUAAAAUUUUUUUAUGAUUAGUAUUUUUAUUGCUAUUAGAUGAUAAAACAUGAAUAGUACUUUAUACGUGACUAAAUAUUUUUAAUUUUUUCUCAAAAUUUUCAAAUAAGAUGGACGGUCAAACGUUGAACACGGAUAUCCACAACUGUAUUUAUU